GAAGGAAUGGUUCAGCAGUUAAGAGCACUGGGUGUUCUUCCAGAGGACCUGGGUUCAAUUCCCAGUACCUACA
rnacentral:tRNA from 1 species